rnacentral:misc_RNA from 1 species
UCCGAGUUGACCCCGGCAGUCUCCUAUGAGUCCCCACCAUAACGUGCUGGCAACAUAGGACGAGGGUUGCGCUCGUUGCGGGACUUAACCCAACAUCUCACGACACGAGCUGACGACAGCCAUGCACCACCUGUAUGAAAGUCAGUACCAUCCCGUUAAGGACUGGUUUUGUUGUUCAUAUGUCAAGGGCUGGUAAGGUUCUGCGCGUUGUAUCGAAUUAAUCCACAUAAUCCACCGCUUGUGCGGGUCCCCGUCAAUUCCUUUGAGUUUUAGCCUUGCGGCCGUACUCCCCAGGCGGGGCGCUUAAUGCGUUAGCUACGGCACGGAUCCCGUGGAAGAUAACCCACACCUAGCGCCCACCGUUUACGGCGUGGACUAC